UACAGAGGUCUCAAGCGUUGUUCGGAUUCAUUGGGCGUAAAGGGUGCGUAGGUGGCGCUGUAAGUCAGGUGUGAAAUUUCGGAGCUUAACUCCGAAACUGCAUUUGAUACUGCGGUGCUUGAGGACUGGAGAGGAGACUGGAAUUCACGGUGUAGCAGUGAAAUGCGUAGAGAUCGGAAGGAACACCAGAGGCGAAAGCGGCAUGCUGGGGCUAUUCUGACACUGAGGCACGAAAGCCAGGGGAGCGAACGGG
rnacentral:rRNA from 1 species